CACCAGACUCCUACGGGAGGCAGCAGUGGGGAAUAUUGCACAAUGGGGGAAACCCUGAUGCAGCGACGCCGCGUGAGCGAUGAAGUAUUUCGGUAUGUAAAGCUCUAUCAGCAGGGAAGAAGAUGACGGUACCUGACUAAGAAGCCCCGGCUAACUACGUGCCAGCAGCCGCGGUAAUACGUAGGGGGCAAGCGUUAUCCGGAUUUACUGGGUGUAAAGGGAGCGUAGACGGCGAUGCAAGCCAGAUGUGAAAGCCCGGGGCUCAACCCCGGGACUGCAUUUGGAACUGUGUGGCUGGAGUGUCGGAGAGGCAGGCGGAAUUCCUAGUGUAGCGGUGAAAUGCGUAGAUAUUAGGAGGAACACCAGUGGCGAAGGCGGCCUGCUGGACGAUGACUGACGUUGAGGCUCGAAAGCGUGGGGAGCAAACAGGAUUAGAUACCCCAGUA
rnacentral:rRNA from 1 species